rnacentral:rRNA from 1 species
UCGGCUUAGAGUUUGAUCAUGGCUCAGGACGAACGCUGGCGGCAUGCCUAAUACAUGCAAGUCGAACGAGUGCUUGCACAGUGGCGAACUGGUGAGUAACACGUGGGAAAUCUGCCCAGAAGCAGGGGAUAACACUUGGAAACAGGUGCUAAUACCGUAUAACAACAAAUCCGCAUGGAUUUUGUUGAAAGGUGUUCGUAUCACUUCUGGAUGAUCCCGCGGCGUAUUAGUUAGUUGGUGAGGUAAAGGCCCACCAAGACGAUGAUACGUAGCCGACCUGAGAGGGUAAUCGGCCACAUUGGGACUGAGACACGGCCCAAACUCCUACGGGAGGCAGCAGUAGGGAAUCUUCCACAAUGGACGAAAGUCUGAUGGAGCAAUGCCGCGUGAGUGAAGGAGGGUUUCGGCUCGUAAAACUCUGUUGUUAAAGAAGAACACCUUUGAGGUAAUUCAAGGGUUGACGGUAUUUAACCAGAAAGCCACGGCUAACUACGUGCCAGCAGCCGCGGUAAUACGUAGGUGGCAAGCGUUGUCCGGAUUUAUUGGGCGUAAAGCGAGCGCAGGCGGUUUCUUAAGUCUGAUGUGAAAGCCUUCGGCUUAACCGGAGAAGUGCAUCGGAAACUGGGAGACUUGAGUGCAGAAGAGGACAGUGGAACUCCAUGUGUAGC